UUUUUUUUUUUUUUUUCGUCUGUCCCAAAUUAUAGUUCACUUUUUAAUUAAAAAAUAUAGUUAUAUUUUAAUUUUUUUAAAUUAUUUUUAUUUAAUAUAAGUUAUUGUUACUAUAAAUCUAUCCCAUUUAAUGAGAAUUAAUUCUUUUUUUAUCAUCAAUUUAAGUUCCCAUAAAGUUAUACUCUAAUUAAUAUGAGGGUAUUUUAGAAAAAUAGCUACCUUAAUUGAUUGAUCCAACAAAGUUAAUUACUUUUUUUUAAACUGUGUGAAAAAUAAAUUAAAAUUAUCAAAAUGAGACGGAGGGAGUAUAUACGAGUUCACAAGUGUGGGCUGCCUCAACUCCAACCGGCAGUUGGGGUUUGCUUUUCCGUUAAAUCGUUCUAGAAAAACAUCGUACUUAGAGUGGCAAUUAACAAGAAAAACAUCUGGGGCAUACUCCACUCUGAGUAAAGGAAAGUCGACUGUUUUGAUUGAGCCAUAAGUUGAUAUGUACUACUCCUCCAUUAAUUAAUAUGCACUCAAGGUCAAGGGCAGGGUUGAAAAUUGGAAUGGGCGUUUAUUUCUUUUAGAUUUUUUGCCUUCCUUUUUUGCCCUUUUGUUGAGAAAAAAGAAGAGGACUUCGGCCUCUUGACUAGAGUAGAGUGAUUAAAAACUACUCCUACAUGAGUAGUACAGUAGCAGAAGUUCAGCUGGAAUACCAUACAAAGUAAUACAGUACAUUGGUUGAAAUUAUUUCAGAUUCUGUCCCUACCUAUUGGGCUAUUACAGUACAUAUAUUGUAUAGUUCACCUGCAAUUGUACAAUCAUACCGCGGGCAGACUAAUUAUUACAAUCUAAGAUUUAUUUAUUGUAUAUACUUCAGAGGAUUACUGUUGCUGCUUCUUGGUGGUAAUCAUAGCUAA
rnacentral:lncRNA from 1 species